rnacentral:rRNA from 1 species
UACGUAGGGGGCAAGCGUUGUCCGGAUUCAUUGGGCGUAAAGAGCGUGUAGGCGGCCAGGUAGGUCGGUUGUGAAAACUGGAGGCUCAACCUUCAGAGGUCGACCGAAACCAUCUGGCUAGAGUCCGGGAGAGGAGAGUGGAAUUCCUGGGUGUAGCGGUGAAAUGCGCAGAUAUCUGGAGGAAUACCGGUGGCGAAGGCGGCAUCCUGGACCAUAACUGACGCUGAGGCGCGAAAGCUAGGGUAGCAAACGGG